AUUGAACGCUGGCGGCAGGCCUAACACAUGCAAGUCGAACGGUAACAGGAAACAGCUUGCUGUUUCGCUGACGAGUGGCGGACGGGUGAGUAAUGUCUGGGAAACUGCCUGAUGGAGGGGGAUAACUACUGGAAACGGUAGCUAAUACCGCAUAACGUCGCAAGACCAAAGAGGGGGACCCUCGGGCCUCUUGCCAUCGGAUGUGCCCAGAUGGGAUUAGCUUGUUGGUGGGGUAACGGCUCACCAAGGCGACGAUCCCUAGCUGGUCUGAGAGGAUGACCAGCCACACUGGAACUGAGACACGGUCCAGACUCCUACGGGAGGCAGCAGUGGGGAAUAUUGCACAAUGGGCGCAAGCCUGAUGCAGCCAUGCCGCGUGUAUGAAGAAGGCCUUCGGGUUGUAAAGUACUUUCAGCGGGGAGGAAGGGAGUAAAGUUAAUACCUUUGCUCAUUGACGUUACCCGCAGAAGAAGCACCGGCUAACUCCGUGC
rnacentral:rRNA from 1 species